AAUGUUUGAUAAGACGACACUCAACUCCUUUUGGACGGUAAUUAAUCUGUUCCUGGUUUUGUUUCGUGUUUCGUACAUUUUAAAAAUAACCGAAAAAUCGAUAAAUCGACGGUGGCCGUGUAUUGAACAACGUCCAUCAUACGGGUAUUAUAGUCAGAAUGAUAAAUCUCGAUAAAUUUCAGAUUCUGAGCGGAGCGGGCCAAUACAGGUUCUAUAAUUAUGUUUA